CUCGGUGAUUAUUGCGCAGGGGUUCCACCUCUUCCCAUUCCGAACAGAGAAGUUAAGCCCUGUAGCGCCGAUGGUACUGCCCAAGUGGUGGAAGAGUAGGUCGUUGCCGAGG
rnacentral:rRNA from 1 species